UACGUAGGGGGCAAGCGUUGUCCGGAAUUAUUGGGCGUAAAGAGCUCGUAGGCGGUGUGUCGCGUCGGCCGUGAAAACCUGCAGCUUAACUGUGGGCUUGCGGUCGAUACGGGCAUCACUGGAGUUCGGCAGGGGAGACUGGAAUUCCUGGUGUAGCGGUGAAAUGCGCAGAUAUCAUGAGGAACACCGGUGGCGAAGGCGGGUCUCUGGGCCGAUACUGACGCUGAGGAGCGAAAGCGUGGGGAGCGAACAGG
rnacentral:rRNA from 1 species